rnacentral:rRNA from 1 species
GACGAACGCUGGCGGCGUGCCUAAUACAUGCAAGUAGAACGCUGAAGAGAGGAGCUUGCUCUUCUUGGAUGAGUUGCGAACGGGUGAGUAACGCGUAGGUAACCUGCCUUGUAGCGGGGGAUAACUAUUGGAAACGAUAGCUAAUACCGCAUAACAAUGGAUGACACAUGUCAUUUAUUUGAAAGGGGCAAUUGUUCCACUACAAGAUGGACCUGCGUUGUAUUAGCUAGUAGGUGAGGUAAUGGCUCACCUAGGCGACGAUACAUAGCCGACCUGAGAGGGUGAUCGGCCACACUGGGACUGAGACACGGCCCAGACUCCUACGGGAGGCAGCAGUAGGGAAUCUUCGGCAAUGGGGGCAACCCUGACCGAGCAACGCCGCGUGAGUGAAGAAGGUUUUCGGAUCGUAAAGCUCUGUUGUAAGUCAAGAACGGGUGUGAGAGUGGAAAGUUCACACUGUGACGGUAGCUUACCAGAAAGGGACGGCUAACUACGUGCCAGCAGCCGCGGUAAUACGUAGGUCCCGAGCGUUGUCCGGAUUUAUUGGGCGUAAAGCGAGCGCAGACGGUUUGAUAAGUCUGAAGUUAAAGGCUGUGGCUCAACUAUAGUUCGCUUUGGAAACUGUCAAACUUGAGUGCAGAAGGGGAGAGUGGAAUUCCAUGUGUAGCGGUGAAAUGCGUAGAUAUAUGGAGGAACACCGGUGGCGAAAGCGGCUCUCUGGUCUGUAACUGACGCUGAGGCCCGAAAGCGUGGGGAGCGAACAGGAUUAGAUACCCUGGUAGUCCACGCCGUAAACGAUGAGUGCUAGGUGUUGGAUCCUUUCCGGGAUUCAGUGCCGCAGCUAACGCAUUAAGCACUCCGCCUGGGGAGUACGACCGCAAGGUUGAAACUCAAAGGAAUUGACGGGGGCCCGCACAAGCGGUGGAGCAUGUGGUUUAAUCCGAAGCAACGCGAAGAACCUUACCAGGUCUUGACAUCCCGAUGCUAUUUCUAGAGAUAGAAAGUUACUUCGGUACAUCGGUGACAGGUGGUGCAUGGUUGUCGUCAGCUCGUGUCGUGAGAUGUUGGGUUAAGUCCCGCAACGAGCGCAACCCCUAUUGUUAGUUGCCAUCAUUCAGUUGGGCACUCUAGCGAGACUGCCGGUAAUAAACCGGAGGAAGGUGGGGAUGACGUCAAAUCAUCAUGCCCCUUAUGACCUGGGCUACACACGUGCUACAAUGGUUGGUACAACGAGUUGCGAGUCGGUGACGGCGAGCUAAUCUCUUAAAGCCAAUCUCAGUUCGGAUUGUAGGCUGCAACUCGCCUACAUGAAGUCGGAAUUGCUAGUAAUCGCGGAUCAGCACGCCGCGGUGAAUACGUUCCCGGGCCU